ensembl:lncRNA PCBP1-AS1 PCBP1 antisense RNA 1
GAACACAAAAUGGCGACACGUGGUUAGCAUUCGUCGCCAACGAGAAAUUGGGGUCGGCCCGAAAGCUCUAGAAUGCACCCCUCUUCCUCCCCGGGGCCUUCCACCUCCGCGAGUUUUAUGACUUAAAAAAGCCCACAGGCUGGUCUGAAGGUCGGAGGCCUAAUUUUAACGCGUUUUCCUCCCUUUAAUUUGAAACGGGAACGCGAAUGACUGUAAAAUAGGAAGACAAACAUAAAGAUGAAGUGCUUAAUUCAAGGUCACACAAUGUCGGGGAUGGACCUCCAGAUUUCCUUACUGGUGAGACGUGGUCUUGUAACACAGUGGUUAAGAAUGUGACUUUGGAGCCAGCCUGCUAGGGGCUGAAUUCUGACUCAGCCAUUUACUAACUGUGUGACCUUAGGUGGAGUCUCACUCUGUAGCCCAAGCUGGAGUGGCGUGAUCUCGACUCACUGCAACCUCCGCCUCCUGGGAUCAAGUGAUUCUCGUGCCUCAGCCUCCUGAGUAGCCGGGACUACAGUUGUCCCUUGGUGUGGGAUUGCUUCCAGUACCUCUGUGUGUAACAAAAGCUGCACCAUUCAAGUCCCACAGUUGCCCUGCGAAACCUCUGUAUAUGAAAAGUUGGCCCUCCAUGUACAUGGGUUUCCCAUCCUAUGUCUGUCCCGGGCUCCAGUUUUGUGGUUCCACCUGAGACCUUUCCACCUAUAUGCUUUACAGGUCACAGAAUUUUCCACACUCCUUGACAGAGGUGCUUAACCCUUAUCCAUCAGCAUUCUCAGACAGCACCUCCGGUUAGGGACAGUAUCUGACCGUCCGACAUCCCUGCAGCCCCCAUGUGUCACACAGACUCAGCCUCAGGUAGAUGG